rnacentral:rRNA from 1 species
AACGAACGCUGGCGGCAGGCUUAACACAUGCAAGUCGAGCGCCCCGCAAGGGGAGCGGCAGACGGGUGAGUAACGCGUGGGAAUCUACCCAUCUCUACGGAAUAACGCAUGGAAACGUGUGCUAAUACCGUAUACGUCCUUCGGGAGAAAGAUUUAUCGGAGAUGGAUGAGCCCGCGUUGGAUUAGCUAGUCGGUGGGGUAAAGGCCUACCAAGGCGACGAUCCAUAGCUGGUCUGAGAGGAUGAUCAGCCACACUGGGACUGAGACACGGCCCAGACUCCUACGGGAGGCAGCAGUGGGGAAUAUUGGACAAGGGGCACAAGCCUGAUCCAGCCAUGCCGCGUGAGUGAUGAAGGCCCUAGGGUUGUAAAGCUCUUUCACCGGUGAAGAUAAUGACGGUAACCGGAGAAGAAGCCCCGGCUAACUUCGUGCCAGCCGCCGCAGUAAUAC